rnacentral:rRNA from 1 species
UACGUAGGGUGCAAGCGUUAAUCGGAAUUACUGGGCGUAAAGCGUGCGCAGGCGGUUAUGUAAGACAGUUGUGAAAUCCCCGGGCUCAACCUGGGAACUGCAUCUGUGACUGCAUCGCUGGAGUGCGGCAGAAGGGGAUGGAAUUCCGCGUGUAGCAGUGAAAUGCGUAGAUAUGCGGAGGAACACCGAUGGCGAAGGCAAUCCCCUGGGCCUGCACUGACGCUCAUGCACGAAAGCGUGGGGAGCAAACAGG